rnacentral:rRNA from 1 species
GGGUACACGAGCGGCGAACGGGUGAGUAACACGUGAGCAACCUGCCCCUGACUCCGGGAUAAGCGGUGGAAACGCCGUCUAAUACCGGAUACGACCCACCACCUCAUGGUGGAGGGUGGAAAGUUUUUCGGUCAGGGAUGGGCUCGCGGCCUAUCAGCUUGUUGGUGGGGUAACGGCCUACCAAGGCGAUUACGGGUAGCCGGCCUGAGAGGGCGACCGGCCACACUGGGACUGAGACACGGCCCAGACUCCUGCGGGAGGCAGCAGUGGGGAAUAUUGCGCAAUGGGCGAAAGCCUGACGCAGCGACGCCGCGUGGGGGAUGACGGCCUUCGGGUUGUAAACCUCUUUUACCACCAACGCAGGCUCCGGGUUCUCUCGGGGUUGACGGUAGGUGGGGAAUAAGGACCGGCUAACUACGUGCCAGCAGCCGCGGUAAUACGUAGGGUCCGAGCGUUGUCCGGAAUUAUUGGGCGUAAAGAGCUCGUAGGCGGCGUGUCGCGUCUGCUGUGAAAGACCGGGGCUUAACUCCGG